UGCGUAGGUGGCGGGGAAAGUCUGAUGUGAAAUCUCCGAGCUUAACUCGGAAAUGGCAUUGGAAACUACCUUGCUCGAGGGUUGGAGGGGGGACUGGAAUACUUGGUGUAGCAGUGAAAUGCGUAGAUAUCAAGUGGAACACCAGUGGCGAAGGCGGUUGGCUGGGCCACAACUGACGCUGAUGCGCGACAGCGUGGGGAGCAAACA
rnacentral:rRNA from 1 species